rnacentral:lncRNA from 1 species
AUGUACUGCAUGUUCUCCGGGGGGGCGAGCAGCAGGCUGGCAGGCGGCUGGGUCGGAGAGGACAUCUGGAGCAGCCGGUGGAGAAGCUUCCCGGGGGCUGCAGGAGCGCAGGGACGACCGGAGAGGGCAAGGAACGUGCUCCGUGGCACCAGGAGAUGCCGAGGAGACUGGGGAGCUGACGCACAGCCAGGCUUCGGCAGCGAAGGAUCGAGCCUUGCGCAGAGCUCCGGGAGGGACUCGAGUUUCUUUGAAACCUGGAAGCCCCUCAAAGCUGCUGAAACUGAAGUGGAAGGACAAAAUUCGCUCUUCAAGGACGCAGUGGAAGCAGUUGUCCCGUAUCGGCCCUCCCAGCACGGCUGGAUUCAGCCUGGGACGACGGGACUGCCUGCCUGCGUGGCACAAUUCCACCGGUACCCUGAGACUUGUGUGAAAAAUUACCCUGCUGAAGCUACACUAAUCGCGGCAUGCAGUACGUAUACUUGCAAGCACAGUAGGCAAAGUCUGACCCUGCCAGGCACUUAG